AGCGUACACGGUGGAUGCCUUGGCAGUCAGAGGCGAUGAAGGACGUAUUAACUUGCGAUAAGCCCAGAUUAGGUAGUAAAAACCAUUUGAGUCUGGGAUUUCCGAAUGGGGAAACCCACUAGCAUAAGCUAGUAUCGCUGCGUGAAUACAUAGCGCAGCGAGGCGAACCGGGGGAACUGAAACAUCUAAGUACCCCGAGGAAAAGAAAUCAACCGAGAUUCCGAAAGUAGCGGCGAGCGAAAUUGGACUAGCCCUUAAGCUUUUUAUGCGUCAGGUGAAACUUCUGGAAAGUUGUGCGAUACAGGGUGAUAGCCCCGUAACCGGCAACGCAUAUAAAGUGAAAUCGAGUAGGGCGGGACACGUGAUAUCCUGUCUGAAUAUGGGGGGACCAUCCUCCAAGGCUAAAUACUACUGACUGACCGAUAGUGAACCAGUACCGUGAGGGAAAGGCGAAAAGAACCCCUGUGAGGGGAGUGAAAUAGAACCUGAAACCGUGUACGUACAAGCAGUAGGAGCACCUUCGUGGUGUGACUGCGUACCUUUUGUAUAAUGGGUCAGCGACUUAUAUUCAGUGGCAAGGUUAACCAUCUAGGGGAGCCGUAGGGAAACCGAGUCUUAACUGGGCGUUCAGUCUCUGGAUAUAGACCCGAAACCAGGUGAUCUAGCCAUGGGCAGGUUGAAGGUUGAGUAACAUCAACUGGAGGACCGAACCGACUAAUGUUGAAAAAUUAGCGGAUGACUUGUGGCUAGGGGUGAAAGGCCAAUCAAACCUGGAGAUAGCUGGUUCUCCCCGAAAGCUAUUUAGGUAGCGCCUCGGACGAAUACUACUGGGGGUAGAGCACUGUUAAGGCUAGGGGGUCAUCCCGACUUACCAACCCUUUGCAAACUCCGAAUACCAGUAAGUACUAUCCGGGAGACACACGGCGGGUGCUAACGUCCGUCGUGGAGAGGGAAACAACCCAGACCGCCAGCUAAGGUCCCAAAUUACUACUAAGUGGGAAACGAUGUGGGAAGGCUCAGACAGCCAGGAUGUUGGCUUAGAAGCAGCCAUCAUUUAAAGAAAGCGUAAUAGCUCACUGGUCGAGUCGGCCUGCGCGGAAGAUGUAACGGGGCUAAGUAGUAAACCGAAGCUGCGGCAAUGCACUUUAGUGCAUUGGGUAGGGGAGCGUUCUGUAAGCGGUUGAAGGUGUGUGGUAACGCAUGCUGGACGUAUCAGAAGUGCGAAUGCUGACAUGAGUAACGAUAAAGGGGGUGAAAAACCUCCUCGCCGGAAGACCAAGGGUUCCUGUCCAACGUUAAUCGGGGCAGGGUAAGUCGACCCCUAAGGCGAGGCCGAAAGGCGUAGUCGAUGGGAAACGGGUUAAUAUUCCCGUACUUCUUACAAUUGCGAUGGGGGGACGGAGAAGGCUAGGUGGGCCUGGCGACGGUUGUCCAGGUUCAAGUGCGUAGGCUUAAGAGUUAGGUAAAUCCGGCUCUUUCUAAGGCUGAGACACGACGUCGAGCUACUACGGUAGUGAAGUCAUUGAUGCCAUGCUUCCAGGAAAAGCCUCUAAGCUUCAGAUUGUAAGGAAUCGUACCCCAAACCGACACAGGUGGUCGGGUAGAGAAUACCAAGGCGCUUGAGAGAACUCGGGUGAAGGAACUAGGCAAAAUGGUACCGUAACUUCGGGAGAAGGUACGCUCUCGACGGUGAAGUCCCUUGCGGAUGGAGCUAUUGAGAGUCGCAGAUACCAGGUGGCUGCAACUGUUUAUUAAAAACACAGCACUGUGCAAAAUCGUAAGAUGACGUAUACGGUGUGACGCCUGCCCGGUGCCGGAAGGUUAAUUGAUGGGGUUAGACUUCGGUCGAAGCUCUUGAUCGAAGCCCCGGUAAACGGCGGCCGUAACUAUAACGGUCCUAAGGUAGCGAAAUUCCUUGUCGGGUAAGUUCCGACCUGCACGAAUGGCGUAAUGAUGGCCACGCUGUCUCCACCCGAGACUCAGUGAAAUUGAAAUCGCUGUGAAGAUGCAGUGUACCCGCGGCUAGACGGAAAGACCCCGUGAACCUUUACUACAGCUUGGCACUGAACAUUGACCCUACAUGUGUAGGAUAGGUGGGAGGCUUUGAAGCACAGUCGCUAGAUUGUGUGGAGCCGUCCUUGAAAUACCACCCUUGUAGUGUUGAUGUUCUAACGUUGACCCCUAAUCGGGGUUGCGGACAGUGCCUGGUGGGUAGUUUGACUGGGGCGGUCUCCUCCCAAAGCGUAACGGAGGAGCACGAAGGUGGGCUAAUCACGGUUGGACAUCGUGAGGUUAGUGCAAUGGCAUAAGCCCGCUUGACUGCGAGAAUGACGGUUCGAGCAGGUGCGAAAGCAGGUCAUAGUGAUCCGGUGGUUCUGAAUGGAAGGGCCAUCGCUCAACGGAUAAAAGGUACUCCGGGGAUAACAGGCUGAUACCGCCCAAGAGUUCAUAUCGACGGCGGUGUUUGGCACCUCGAUGUCGGCUCAUCACAUCCUGGGGCUGAAGUCGGUCCCAAGGGUAUGGCUGUUCGCCAUUUAAAGUGGUACGCGAGCUGGGUUUAGAACGUCGUGAGACAGUUCGGUCCCUAUCUGCCGUGGGCGUUGGAAGAUUGAAGGGGGCUGCUCCUAGUACGAGAGGACCGGAGUGGACGAACCUCUGGUGUUCGGGUUGUGUCGCCAGACGCAUUGCCCGGUAGCUAAGUUCGGAAUCGAUAACCGCUGAAAGCAUCUAAGCGGGAAGCGAGCCCUGAGAUGAGUCUUCCCUGAUACUUUAAGUAUCCUAAAGGGUUGU
rnacentral:rRNA from 1 species